GUGAGGAAUAUUGGUCAAUGGGCGAGAGCCUGAACCAGCCAAGUCGCGUGAAGGAAGAAGGAGCUAUGGUUCGUAAACUUCUUUUGCAGGGGAAUAAAGUGCAGGACGUGUCCUGUUUUGUAUGUACCCUGAGAAUAAGGAUCGGCUACCUCCGUGCCAGCAGCCGCGGUAAUACGGAGGAUCCGAGCGUUAUCCGGAUUUAUUGGGUUUAAAGGGUGCGUAGGUGGUUUGAUAAGUCAGCGGUGAAAGGUUGCAGCUUAACUGUAAAAAUGCCGUUGAAACUGGCGGACUUGAGUGUAAAUGAGGUAGGCGGAAUGCGUGGUGUAGCGGUGAAAUGCAUAGAUAUCACGCAGAACUCCGAUUGCGAAGGCAGCUUACUAAGCUACAACUGACACUGAAGCACGAAAGCGUGGGGAUCAAACAGGAUUAGAAACCCCUGUAGUCC
rnacentral:rRNA from 1 species